rnacentral:rRNA from 1 species
AGCGAACGCUGGCGGCAGGCCUAACACAUGCAAGUCGAACGAACCUUUCGGGGUUAGUGGCGGACGGGUGAGUAACACGUGGGAACGUGCCUUUAGGUUCGGAAUAACUCAGGGAAACUUGUGCUAAUACCGAAUGUGCCCUUCGGGGGAAAGAUUAAUCGCCUUUAGAGCGGCCCGCGUCUGAUUAGCUAGUUGGUUGAGGUAAUGGCUCACCAAGGCGACGAUCAGUAGCUGGUCUGAGAGGAUGAUCAGCCACAUUGGGACUGAGACACGGCCCAAACUCCUACGGGAAGCAGCAGUGGGGAAUCUUGCGCAAUGGACGAAAGCCUGACGCAGCCAUGCCGCGUGAAUGAUGAAGGUCUUAGGAUUGUAAAAUUCUUUCACCGGGGACGAUAAUGACGGUACCCGGAGAAGAAGCCCCGGCUAACUUCGUG